rnacentral:snoRNA from 1 species
AUACCAUAGUGAGGACAUCUCAUAAGUAGUUUUUUGAAUCUUUCCCAUGCAUCAUAUAAACUUUCAUUUUCAAGUUGAUGGAAAGAUGUGAUCUUAUUUCUCAAUUU